GUUCCUUCGGGGGGGCGSWGCAGUAGGGAAUCUUCCGCAAUGGGCGAAAGCCUGACGGAGCAAUGCCGCGUGAGUGAUGAAGGUUUUCGGAUCGUAAAGCUCUGUUGCCAGGGAAGAACGCUUGGGAGAGUAACUGCUCUCAAGGUGACGGUACCUGAGAAGAAAGCCCCGGCUAACUACGUGCCAGCAGCCGCGGUAAUACGUAGGGGGCAAGCGUUGUCCGGAAUUAUUGGGCGUAAAGCGCGCGCAGGCGGUCAUUUAAGUCUGGUGUUUAAUCCCGGGGCUCAACCCCGGAUCGCACUGGAAACUGGGUGACUUGAGUGCAGAAGAGGAGAGUGGAAUUCCACGUGUAGCGGUGAAAUGCGUAGAUAUGUGGAGGAACACCAGUGGCGAAGGCGACUCUCUGGGCUGUAACUGACGCUGAGGCGCGAAAGCGUGGGGAGCAAACAGGAUUAWCCCSCCGGKGARAKCMAUG
rnacentral:rRNA from 1 species